rnacentral:rRNA from 1 species
CCUACGGGAGGCAGCAGUGAGGAAUAUUGGUCAAUGGACGAGAGUCUGAACCAGCCAAGUAGCGUGAAGGAUGACUUCCCUAUGGGUUGUAAACUUCUUUUAUAUGGGAAUAAAAUGUUCCACGUGUGGGAUUUUGUAUGUACCAUCUGAAUAAGGAUCGGCUAACUCCGUGCCAUCAGCCGCGGUAAUACGGAGGAUCCGAGCGUUAUCCGGAUUUAUUGGGUUUAAAGGGAGCGUAGGUGGAUUGUUAAGUCAGUUGUGAAAGUUUGCGGCUCAACCGUAAAAUUGCAGUUGAAACUGGCAGUCUUGAGUACAGUAGAGGUGGACGGAAUUCGUGGUGUAGCGGUGAAAUGCUUAGAUAUCACGAAGAACUCCGAUUGCGAAGGCAGCUCACUGGACUGCAACUGACACUGAGGCUCGAAAGUGUGGGUAUCAAACAGGAUUAGAUACCCGAGUAGUC